rnacentral:rRNA from 1 species
GAUGAACGCUGGCGGCGUGCCUAAUACAUGCAAGUCGAGCGAACGGACGAGAAGCUUGCUUCUCUGAUGUUAGCGGCGGACGGGUGAGUAACACGUGGAUAACCUACCUAUAAGACUGGGAUAACUUCGGGAAACCGGAGCUAAUACCGGAUAAUAUUUUGAACCGCAUGGUUCAAAAGUGAAAGACGGUCUUGCUGUCACUUAUAGAUGGAUCCGCGCUGCAUUAGCUAGUUGGUAAGGUAACGGCUUACCAAGGCAACGAUGCAUAGCCGACCUGAGAGGGUGAUCGGCCACACUGGAACUGAGACACGGUCCAGACUCCUACGGGAGGCAGCAGUAGGGAAUCUUCCGCAAUGGGCGAAAGCCUGACGGAGCAACGCCGCGUGAGUGAUGAAGGUCUUAGGAUCGUAAAACUCUGUUAUUAGGGAAGAACAUAUGUGUAAGUAAAUGUGCACAUCUUGACGGUACCUAAUCAGAAAGCCACGGCUAACUACGUG